rnacentral:rRNA from 1 species
GACGAACGCUGGCGGCGUGCCUAAUACAUGCAAGUAGAACGCACAGUUUAUACCGUAGCUUGCUACACCAUAGACUGUGAGUUGCGAACGGGUGAGUAACGCGUAGGUAACCUGCCUGGUAGCGGGGGAUAACUAUUGGAAACGAUAGCUAAUACCGCAUAAUAUUAAUUAUUGCAUGAUAAUUAAUUGAAAGGUGCAAUUGCACCACUACCAGGUGGACCUGCGUUGUAUUAGCUAGUAGGUGAGGUAACGGCUCACCUAGGCGACGAUACAUAGCCGACCUGAGAGGGUGAUCGGCCACACUGGGACUGAGACACGGCCCAGACUCCUACGGGAGGCAGCAGUAGGGAAUCUUCGGCAAUAGACGAAAGUCUGACCGAGCAACGCCGCGGGAGUGAAGAAGGUUUUCGGAUCGUAAAGCUCUGUUGUAAGAGAAGAACGGGUGUGAGAGUGGAAAGUUCACACUGUGACGGUAUCUUACCAGAAAGGGACGGCUAACUACGUG